rnacentral:rRNA from 1 species
UACGUAGGGGGCAAGCGUUGUCCGGAAUCAUUGGGCGUAAAGAGCGCGUAGGCGGCCCUGUAAGUCCGCUGUGAAAGUCAAGGGCUCAACCCUUGAAUGCCGGUGGAUACUGUCGGGCUCGAGUCCGGAAGAGGAGUGUGGAAUUCCUGGUGUAGCGGUGAAAUGCGCAGAUAUCAGGAAGAACACCCGUGGCGAAGGCGGUUCUCUGGGACGGUACUGACGCUGAGACGCGAAAGCGUGGGGAGCGAACAGG